AUGAAGCGCGCUAGGGAGCAGGAGGUACUGUCGCUCGCGCUGUCGCUGAGCACGGACUCGACGUCGUCGUCAGCCGACUCGGCCGGUGCACCGGCCAGGAAGAGGGCGCGGCGGGGUAGAGUGGUGGCGACGUCGGGGGAAGGGGAGUUCGUGUGCAAGACGUGCGGCCGCGCCUUCGCGUCGUUCCAGGCGCUGGGCGGCCACCGGACCAGCCACCUCCGGGGGCGCCAUGGGCUGGAGCUCGGUGUCGGGAUCGCCAGGGCCAUCAAGGAGAGGCAAAAGCAGGAGGACAAGCAGCAGCACGAUUGCCACAUCUGCGGGCUCGGCUUCGGGACCGGCCAGGCUCUCGGCGGCCACAUGCGUCGGCACCGCGAGGAGAUGGCGCUCAGCGGCGCCAUCGACCGGUGGGUCGCUCUGUCGAAUCAGGAGGCGGGGCACCAGGCCGCCGCCGACCGGCCGCCGGUCUUGCUCGAGCUGUUCGUCUAG
rnacentral:rRNA from 1 species